GCGUGAGGGCACGUGAGCCACAAAAAAUUUAUUUUAAAAAUAUCACGAUGUUCGUGAGGUUGUGUAGGUCGCGAUGGUAUAUUCAAAUACCAAAAUUGAGCUUUGUAUGAGAAGUUAUUAGCUAGUUUUGUGUAUGUGCUUUAAAAUAAUGUUUUUAUAGUUAAUUCGUAUAUGUUUAAAUGAUAAUAUGCCAUAAAUGCCAUGCAUAUACAAUUAUGUUUCGUGUAUGAAUUGGUGUGUGAUACCUUAUAUAUUUAAAUGUGGUGCUGUGGAGGCACAUGUAAGUUCAGGUAAGUUAUGUUUGGUUAUGUGAAUCAUCGAUGAUGUGAUAUGUGAUUGAAUAAUGUUGAGCUCAUAAAACUGCACCUAGGGUGAUUGUGAUUUAGCCAGAGAUAUGAAGUACAUGCCUGUUUAUUUAUGUCACCUCCCGCACUAUAUGCUCAUAUUGGAUCCAACUUAAGUGCACAGUCUUGUCGUACAAACCUUAUUUAUGGCUCCGACUCAUAGGUGAUUAGCGAUUUAUCACCCAGCUAUUAUGAGAGAGUAAAAUGGAGCACAAUUAUAUUACACCCAACCUUGUCGUACAAACCCCUUUUUGGUGGUUCCGACUUAUGUGCAGUAUGUUGCCAUAUAGAUCAUUAUAAUGACUCCGGCUAGAGUACCUUUGAGCUAUGAAAUCAGCCGUACAGACUACCUUAGGGGUUCCGGCUAACAUAUCAUAUUUCUAUGAAUUUAUUCUUACCUGAAUUGCUUACUCUAUUAUAUCUUGGCAUGGCAUACAUUUGAAUAUGAUUAUGUGAAGUAUGAAUCGAAUUGAUAUGAUUUCAUAUAUAUAUAUAUAU
rnacentral:lncRNA from 1 species